rnacentral:rRNA from 1 species
GACGAACGCUGGCGGCGUGCCUAAUACAUGCAAGUAGAACGCACAGUUUAUACCGUAGCUUGCUACACCAUAGACUGUGAGUUGCGAACGGGUGAGUAACGCGUAGGUAACCUUCCUGGUAGCGUGGGAUAACUAUUGGAAAGGUUAUCUAAUACCGCAUAAUAUUGAUUAUUCCAUGAUAAUUCAUUGAAAGAUGCUAUUGCAGCACUACCAGAUGGACCUGCGUUCUAUUAGCUAGUAGGUGAGGUAACGGCUCACCUAAGAGACGGUACAUAGCCGGGCUGAAAAGGUGAAUCGCCCCACCUGGAAUGAGACCAGGCUCAGACUCCCAAGGGAAGGAGCAGUAGGGAAGUUUCGGCAAUGGACGACAGUCCGACCGCGCAAAGACGCGUGAGUGAAGAAGGUCUUCCGAUCGUAAAGCUCUGUUGUAUGAGAAGAACGAGUGUCAGAGUAGAACCUUCAUGCUGUGACGGUAUCUUACCAGAAAGCGCCGGCUAACUACGUG